rnacentral:rRNA from 1 species
AGGACGAACGCUGGCGGCGUGCUUCACACAUGCAAGUCGAACGGGGCCCAUCCGGUGGCAACACCGGUGAAGGCUUAGUGGCGAACGGGUGAGUAACACGUGAGGAACCUGCCCCGAAGACCGGGAUAACAGCGGGAAACCGCUGCUAAUACCGGAUACCCCCAGCUGGCCACAUGGCUGGCUGAGGAAAUAGAUUCCGCCUCGGGAGGGCCUCGCGGCCUAUCAGCUAGUUGGUGAGGUAAAGGCCCACCAAGGCGACGACGGGUAGCUGGUCUGAGAGGACGAUCAGCCACACUGGGACUGAGACACGGCCCAGACUCCUACGGGAGGCAGC